rnacentral:lncRNA from 1 species
GUUUUGUUUGUGUUGUGGUUUUGUUGGUUUUAAAGUUUUUUUACUUUAGCAAGGAGAUGAGAGAAGAUGUGAGUUGAGCAAAGGAAUUGAAUCUGGGGUAUACCUGUUUUAGAAUUUUUUUAUCGAAUUUUAAUGAAGUUUAAUGAAGAUGAUGAUGAAGAUGAAGAUGAAAAAGAGGGAAGAAGAUGAAGAUAGUUAAAAAAUAUUAGGUUUUGACGGUGUACCGUUAUAAUUAAUAUACCGUUAAGAUCUAAAGGUGUAAAAUUCAUUAAAAAUAUUAAAGGGUUUAAAUUAUUUACAAAAGUCCAUGGUUGAUGUAAAACCCUAAGACCCAAAUAUGAUUUAUAAAAAUAUUAUGGAAAAUUUGAAGAUAAAAAAGGGUGUCACA